rnacentral:sRNA from 1 species
GUAGGAAGCCGCGGGGUGGUGGCGAGAGAGGACCCAGGUGUCCUGGCAGUGGGCGCCGCGGGGCACACGCUGGGCCAAGGUGCAGGCGGCCAGGGUGGGAGACUGUUCGCCCCGCCCUGAGUCCUCCUCUCUUGCUUCUCCACCUGUUCGGGAGUUGGAGAUGUGCACCUAAAGGAGGCGCAUCUGGGGACGGACACAUCUGGCACUGAGGCCCUCGCCACCUGCCUCGCCACCUGGCGACCCUGACCCCACCACACUGCCUUGAGAGUCGCUCAAAAGUAGGGCCCCAGGGCUCGCAGCAGCAUGGGCACCGAGAAAGAAAGCCCAGAGCCCGACUGCCAGAAACAGUUCCAGGCUGCAGUGAGCGUCAUCCAGAACCUGCCCAAGAACGGUUCUUACCGCCCCUCCUAUGAAGAGAUGCUGCGAUUCUACAGUUACUACAAGCAGGCCACCAUGGGGCCCUGCCUGGUCCCCCGGCCCGGGUUCUGGGACCCCAUUGGACGAUAUAAGUGGUGAGCUCCCUGCUGGCUGGGCAAACAAGCCUCAGCUGUCAAGCAGCCCUCUCACAGCCCUCUGCCCCCAGGGACGCCUGGAACAGUCUGGGCAAGCUGAGCAGGGAGGAGGCCAUGUCUGCCUACAUCACUGAAAUGAAACUGGUGGCACAGAAGGUGAUCGACACAGUGCCCCUGGGUGAGGUGGCAGAGGACAUGUUUGGUUACUUCGAGCCCCUGUACCAGGUGAUCCCUGACAUGCCGAGGCCCCCAGAGACCUUCCUGAGAAGGGUCACAGGUUGGAAAGAGCAGGUUGUGAAUGGAGAUGUUGGGGCUGUUUCAGAGCCUCCCUGCCUCCCCAAGGAACUGGCACCCCCAAGCCCAG